GCGCCGCCGCCUCCACUUUGCGACCCGCCGGCGACCGGAUCCUCGCCGGAGAUGAGUGCCGCCGUGCCCUGCUCCCUCCUCUCUUCCUCUGUCUCCUCUCACCUCGCUCAUCCCCCGAUCUCUCUGUCCCCAGGACGAACAGGAGCAUGCUAUGGCCUCGGAUCCGCGCCGCCGUCGUCGGAGAACGUCGUCCGCCACCGGUUCUUCGACCACAACUACCGGAUCAAGUUGCCCCGCCUCCGAUCUACCCGUUCCCGGCCACCCCAACCUCGCCUCGUCGUCGGGCGCGCAGAGAGACGGCCAUGGCCGCCCGAUUCCCGAGCGCCGCCUGCCAAGGUGGCUGCCCGAUGCACGAGCGCCGCCGGCCAAGGACCCGCCGGCGUCCAGACCCCCUCCACGCCAUCCCCAUCUCGCCGGAGACCUGCUCCAAGUCUGGCCGCCCUCCAAACAGGUGCCUCUCCUCUCCCGGCUUCGCUUCCUCCAUUGUCGCCUCGCACUGUUGCUUCCCCGUCAGAUGCAGCACAGGUCAUGGGUGUACAUCUGUACAUCCAAAAUUUUCUGCAGAAAAUCAGUUUAUAUAGGUAUAUGACAAAAAAUACUGCAUGUCGUCAGUACGCGGAGACAGAGGCCAAGGAUGACAGGCAACUCUUGGAGGAGGACACCUCAAAUCAGUCUGGGAAGUUGUCGUCGUUUUCCUCGGGCAGCAAUGCAAAUUAUUGUAAUGAUACUUAUCAACGUUUUUAUUUGGUUGUGCAGUACUCGCUAGGUGCUUGA
rnacentral:rRNA from 1 species